GGGGUGAGUGAGUGCUGAGCAUGAGAAGGUGGGGGGGGGGCUGAGCAUUGACUGUAGAAAACAUGGACAACGCGACAGCUCCCCGAAAAUGAAGCCAAAACGUCUCUAUCGCCGUCAUAAACCCCGCCUCCUCCAUGUUAGCGGAUAAGACUGGGGUUUGAUUCUAAUUCCUACCGCGGUGAUGUUAAAUUGGAGUGAGACGUCAUCAUAGCAGCUUUGACUGACAGCUGCAGUCACGGAGAAACUUGCGUAUCUCUGUUCGGGAAUAGCAGAUAGAGCGUAGGCUCUGAGAGGAGGGCCAGCGUUUACGCUACGAAGACACGACCGAGUGUUUUAACCUGACAGCCUGAGGUGUUCUUCAGUAAACUGGACUACCCGACAGAAGGACCCGAGGCCCUGCUGCACUUUUUCGGAGCUGCCCUCAGAUUCAGACCUCAGCACCACCCAGUGACAGCAGACAGAUCAUCCAACAUGUUAACUGCAAAAUGAACUGAUGAAAACAGUACAAAGGUUAAAGUACCACAUGUGCUGUCAGUGAAAGCUGCAGCUGUUUUAUUGAUAAAGUUAAAAACAAAAGGAUUAAUCACUCAUGUAACUGUGUCACUAUAUAUCAGCAUUAACAGGACCUCAGUUUGGUGUUUCACAAAGCUGCUGAUCUCAGACCUGCACAGCUUCCGUUUUAAACACUUGAUGUACUCAGCUGCAUGAAGAGCAUAUGAGAUUUUCUCUAACACAAUUAAAUAAAACCUGAUGAAGGUCAAAGGUCGUCACUUGUAUGUUGAACUACAAACUUGUCAUGUGGAAUUCUUUCACAGUUUUUUGCAGAUAGUGUGUUAUUUACCAUAAAGUGAUUCAGAGUUAUUCAUACCAAAGUAACCAGAGAGGAUCAUAUGUUUUUAAAUAUGUAACUUUCUACAGGACUGAAUAUAUUAUGUUUAUGUAAAAGUCCGGAGCCAUCUUUUGUGUGUGUGUGUGUGUGAUUUACAUUGCUGUGCUUGAGAGCCACCAUCUACCGGAACCAAAUUCCUUGUAUGUGUCUGCACAUAUACUUGGCCAAUAAACACGAUUCUGAUUCUGA
ensembl:lncRNA